UACAACUUCCGUACAUGAAGAAAGACCAGAGGGAUGUGUGGCCACUGCUGGCCCUGUCCCCCUGCCCCAGCACAUUGAAGAAGAAGGUGAAGAAGAUCUCAUCCAGAAAGCCAUGCAUUCCGAAGAAAAGGAAGCGGAGGAGGUCGGGCAGUCCCUGGAAGGAGCAAGGUGGAUCAGAUGGUGGACAGUCUAUGACCAGAUGAACUCCUU
rnacentral:lncRNA from 1 species